rnacentral:rRNA from 1 species
GAUGAACGCUGGCGGCGUGCCUAAUACAUGCAAGUCGAGCGAACAGACGAGGAGCUUGCUCCUCUGACGUUAGCGGCGGACGGGUGAGUAACACGUGGAUAACCUACCUAUAAGACUGGGAUAACUUCGGGAAACCGGAGCUAAUACCGGAUAAUAUAUUGAACCGCAUGGUUCAAUAGUUAAAGACGGUUUUGCUGUCACUUAUAGAUGGAUCCGCGCCGCAUUAGCUAGUUGGUAAGGUAACGGCUUACCAAGGCGACGAUGCGUAGCCGACCUGAGAGGGUGAUCGGCCACACUGGAACUGAGACACGGUCCAGACUCCUACGGGAGGCAGCAGUGGGGAAUCUUCCGCAAUGGGCGAAAGCCUGACGGAGCAACGCCGCGUGAGUGAUGAAGGUCUUCGGAUCGUAAAACUCUGUUAUUAGGGAAGAACAAAUGUGUAAGUAACUAUGCACGUCUUGACGGUACCUAAUCAGAAAGCCACGGCUAACUACGUG